GGGCAACACGGAUGAGAGCGUGCAGGUGCGGUAAGGGGGCAGGUCGGGGCAGAGGUCAGCGACUGGAGCCCGUUUCCUGCUUAGGCCAGAGCGGAGCCGAGGGGAAAUGUUCCCCGUCCUCGCUGCAUUGUGAAGGGACUGUGCCGAGAAACACGGGUGGAUGGCAGCCCCCGCCGAUGCAUGCUGGCUGCCCCUUCUGGGGGACGUCAGCAGACCCCGGGUCACUGCCCAGCAGUAGUGUGCCCCUGAAGCCUGAACGUGGAUCCAGAGCGGCCCCCAAGGCACCCGGGACCGGCCUGGUCUUGUGCGGUAACCCUUGGUGAGUCCCUGACCCGUGGCUGUGCUUCCUGCGUCCACCAGGUGUCCCUUCGCACACUCACCAGGCAACGGCAGGUGGAACCUGCCCUGGUCACCAUCAGACGGCGUUCCAUCGAGGACUAAGUUCCUGAAGUCCCCGGCUCUGGUGUGUGGUCAGUGACUAGGGCACAGCAAGCAGUGAUUCUCGGGGACAGAGUGUUGUCAUCAAGAGGCGCUACCAGGUUCUGAGUGCGUCCGGGGUCUUUGUCACCCAGGCGAUGACUUAAGCGGUUGCUAGACUGAAAGUCAGUGGACGUGUGCCACCAGCACUGUGCUUCCUGGAGAUGGACAGGCGCCUCUGAAGAUGGAGCUGGCGGGCAUGGACGGGCUGUAGGGAUUCCUUUGGUGACAACCGUUAAUCGCUGGCGGGCAGUUAUGCCUGAAAAGCUAACAAGGCACAGCGGUUAUGCCGCGUCUUGGCCCCAGCUGCAGCCAGGGUUUAACCAGAUCUUUGCCAGCCUGCCGUGGAAGGGCCAGGGAGUUAAGUGGUGCGGGCUCUGCCGGCCAGGCGGUUUCUGUCUCAACCGCUCGUUGCUGAUGGUGCGACACAAAGGCAGCCCUCAAGUAAGCAGACACAGAAAUGUGGGUUUUGUUUCAGUUCCCCAUCGUGAAGUACUGUUCCAUUGACUUUUCUCAACUAUUUAGAAGCUUUGGGUUUAGAAGCUUUGCCAUUUUUAGCUUUGGGUCCUACAAAUAGCAACCAGAUUUGGCCCUGAGGUCAUCGUCAGCUGAUUCCUGUUCUAAGAUGCAAAGUAGUAAGGAAACUUCUGAGAAGUAACUUUUGACUCCGAUUUUUCCUUCCACAGGAGUUCGUUUCUGAGUCUGGUAGUUCGGUCUUUAAACAAUUUAAUGUUCCAACUUCUCUGUUGUUCCCUUAUCAAUAAAUAUCUGAGCACCAACCAUUUGAAGUUGCAGGGUAAAGCCAAGGAGCCCCAUCACUCUCCCAGGUUUGAGGUCUGGCAGAGGCUGAGAGGCAGCUGGUCGGAGACUGAGAUGUAGUCUUGGCUGCACACAGAGGGGAUCACGUGAGCUUUACUGUCUCCAAAACCAAGGGGUAAGACGAGAUGAUCGCCAAGGUCUCAGUUGCCCCACGUACACUGUUCUUUAAACUGAUUUUCUAGCUGAAAUGUGGGCAUGAAGUCGAGCACUCAUUUAACCUUGUUUCCUUGCCAUAAACAGCUAGUUCUUGUAACAAACCUGCGUCCAGACGUGAGAACCCCCCUGGGGAGCUGGACCUGCUCAGAGAGGAAGUGGCUUAUUUCUCAAAGUAAACCCAGAAGCCUGUCCUUCCAGAUCUCUGUCUGACACAGGUACUCAGUUCAGCUCAGCCAUGGGCUUGAUGGCCCCUUGGUGUUCAGAGAAUAAGCUGUGAUCCCUGGGCAGCAGAAUCAACAUCACUUGAAGUACGAAAGUGGCACCACACCUGCUCCACCGACCCCAGAUACCCCGGGUCAGACUCUGCAGUUUAGAUUCCCAGGUAUAUUUUCAAGAAAGGAUGACCCCAUCACUGACACCUGGGAAGUUGUGAGCAGUGCAGGUGCUGGGGCCCAGCAAUGUCCUGAUGAGCUCUCUUGUGAUCCUCACGUCAGAAGUCUGAGAACCACUGAAUUAGGUGCUGAAGGCACAGACAAGGGCCGAGCCACACUCUGCAUCACGGUCUGGUCAGGAGGGUGACACCGACCUGCAUGGACACAGGCAUCACAGAGAAACUCUUCCAGGAUGUGCUACGGAAGCCCUCAUUUUACAAGUGAGGAAACAAGGCUGAGAGAGACUGAACACCGUGUCUGAGACCAGAGCAGGACAAGCAGAUGCCAGAGCACGAGCCACGGCGGAGCCCACCGGCCUUCUCCACUGCUACGGAGGCCGCCCUCCGUACCCCUGUCCGGUCCUCCCCACCCCUCCAUCCCUGUUCUGAUGGGGAGCGGUAACAAACCCAAUACAAUGUGCUGCGGCUUCAUACUCCAUACAGUCAAAGCAUUCAUUCUGUAGUCAAUGGUGGGAUUACCCAUGUUUCCUGCCUUGACAGCAUCAGCUAGGGAUGCAUCUAUCUCUGAAGGAACGGAACUACGUUUUUGGAAACUUAGACUAUCCGCAGGUUUCUUGCCACUAAACUUCUAUUUAAAUUAAAUGAAGACUAAAAAUUCACUAUGGAGAGGAAUAAAGUCUCUUGUUCCAUA